rnacentral:lncRNA from 1 species
CAUGUCCCGGCAUAACAUUGACUAUCACAUGUCAUCAAAUACCCUAUAGUAAAUCCAAAGCAUUUCAGAUAUCCCAGCUGAGAUUCAUGCUUCUGAAUUCUGUUAAAAACAGGAAUUUGGCUAAGCCAGAAACGUCCAAGUGUCCGUUUCAAAGAAGCCGUGGCCCAUGUCUCAGAAGCCUGUAACACUCUUCUGCACUCGCAUUUCUCUCCUUCCUUUGGGCCAAUCUGACCUGAGGAAAAACCCUCCUAGACCCAAAUCUGUGAACAAGGAAACAAAAGAGAAUGGAAAUAAGUGCAAGAUAACAUCCAGCAGUUCUGGUUCUGAACAAAAUACACGAGCUCUCCUCUUUCCAUAGAGGUGCAGACAACUCCAGAGACACCAAUUUUUAAACAGAGCAUAAAUCUCAGAUCCGACUUCCUUUUCUUGCUCCUCCCCCUUUCCCUGAAGGUAG